rfam:Picea glauca, whole genome shotgun sequence.
GAUUCCAUGGCUUAAUGGAUAAGGCGCUAGUCUACGAAACCAAAGAUUUUGGGUUUGAUCCCUAGUGGAGUAG